GCGGGUAUGGUUCAAUGGUAGAACCUCAGCCUUCCAAGCUGAAGAUGCGGGUUCGAUUCCCGCUACCCGCUCCA
rnacentral:tRNA from 5 species